UACGAGGGAGGGCUAGCGUUGUUCGGAAUUACUGGGCGUAAAGCGCGCGCAGGUGGUCUUUCAAGUCAGUGGUGAAAGCCCGGAGCUCAACUCCGGAAAUGCCAUUGAAACUGUAAGACUUGAGGAUGAGAGAGGUGAGUGGAAUUCCCAGUGUAGAGGUGAAAUUCGUAGAUAUUGGGAAGAACACCGGUGGCGAAGGCGGCUCACUGGCUCAUAUCUGACGCUCAGGCGCGACAGCGUGGGGAUCAAACAGG
rnacentral:rRNA from 1 species